UUCUAUUGUCCUAUUUACUAAAUUUUCUUGUUUGAUACAGGCCCCUUCUCUGAAGAGGCCACUAGAAAUUGGUAAACUGGAUGAUGGUCUUUACAGGCUUGUGCAAUCUUCUCUUUCUACUCCCUCUCAAUACUAUACUCCUUGUAAUUACCAUUCUCCAUUAGCUGUUGCUUCUGUUUCUUCCUCUCAUUGUACAUACCAUUCUGAAUUGAAUAAAAUGGAGAUAUUAUGAUUGUACAUACCAUUCUGAAUUGAAUAAAAUGGAUAUAUUAUGGCAUAACAGACUAGGGCACAUUCCUUUUGUUAGAAUGAAAGACAUUUCUUCUAUUCCAUGUAAAUUUGCAAAUAAACAGCCUUUUAUAUGUACUAUUUGCCCAUUAGCAAGACAGUCUAGAUUGCCCUUUCCUGAAAGUUCUAUAAAAACAACACAUCCUUUUCAGCACAUCAUACCUGGGGUCCUUAUGCCACUACCACCCAUAAUGGGUGCAAAUAUUUUGUAACAAUA
rnacentral:lncRNA from 1 species